UACAGGGGGUGCAAACGUUGCUCGGAAUUAUUGGGCGUAAAGCGCACGUAGGCGGUCUGUUAUGUCGGAUGUGAAAGCCCUUGGCUCAACUGAGGAAGUGCAUCCGAAACUGGCAGGCUGGAGUACGUAAGAGGGUCGCGGAAUUCCCAGUGUAGAGGUGAAAUUCGUAGAUAUUCGCAAGAACACCAGUGGCGAAGGCGGCUCACUGGCCCGGUACUGACGCUGAGGUGCGAAAGCGUGGGGAGCAAACAGG
rnacentral:rRNA from 1 species